CUUCUGCCUUCAUAUGCAUUGUAAAUGUUUUAGCCUGUCAAUAUCCAUUUUCUGCGAGAUUAGCUUAAGCUGGUGCAACAGAUUGACAUUCUCAGUUGUUCAGUGUUGAUUCUUCCUCAGUUACUUGAUGUGUGUGUCGAGCAAGUCUUCCUUAGUUACAUGUAUUGCUGAAAAAUGCACAAGGGUAUUUUUUUAUCCUACUAUAAUAUCUCAUCAUUGAUGAUAUUACUUGAGCGAUUCAUAUUAAUAAUUUCACAAAAUUGGUCCAUAAACUGAUGAUGCUUGUACUUAAAGAGCAUGAAAACUCCCAACCAAUAUGUUAUCAAUUUCAUUUUGUAUCCUCCAGUUCAAGCAAUCAAUCAGAACAUGAAAACUUAUAGCCAAUAUGUUAUCAAUAGGUUUAAUCUCAAAGAUCUUAUUGCAGGUAUAGAUUUUAUAUUUUCUUACUUGUGAUUUCAGAUCUUCAAUUUCCAGACUUUGUUUGAGAAAUCACAUUUUCUCAUCUGUUGAAUUCUCUGUACGUACAGGUGAAUUAAAUAUAUGGCAGCGGCUUCAGUUCAUCAGCUCGCUCAGUGCAUUACUUGCCAUGCUUGGAGUCCAGACCAUUCUAGUACGUCUUUAAUUCUGAAAAACCCCACUUUUGAAUUCACAAUUUAUGAAUUUGAUUUUAUUUUAUGAUGUACAAAUCAAUUAAUGAUAAUUUGUUUCUGUUCAAACCGUAGUGAUAGCAUUAUGCCCAAAUAACAGUGAAGUGCAUAUAUAUAGAUUAUUAGAAGACGACAAGUGGGAGAAGAUCCACGUUCUUCAGAAGGUAACUUGAAAUUGAGUUUUUUGAUAUCUUUGCUUGUAUAGUUGUACAGAAUUGUGAUUUCUCUUUAUGGGCUUCAAUUUUAACAGUUUUAUGGCAAUGUAUCAGUCAGCAAUCAAAACUUUAGAAAAUCAAUAAUCUUUCUAUUUUGAUUCAUAAGGAGCAGUUUUGAAAAUAUAUAGAGCUUGAUGAUGGUAUAUUUAGAUUUUUAGCAUGUAAGAUAUAUAUCAUGUCGCCUUGAUGACACUAGUGAGAAUGGGAAGAAGAGGGCUUAUCAGAGGAUAAAUACAUACAUAGUAUUUUGAUUAAAUGGGGCAAUAUUAAGAUGUGAUAAAGAAGAUGCUUUGCAAAUUAUUUUGUUUUAUCUUUUUUGUGUAUGUGCACUAUUUUUUGAAUUAGUAACAAUUCAUGAUGCUAGCCAUGAUAUGGAAUUUAUCAGAAAUAAUUUUGACUUUCGUUUUAUGUUCUAGUGUUUUCAUAGUAGAUGUUAUAUUGAACUUAGUAUUAUUUGUGCGAGUUGUCUUACCUGUCUUUUAGUGAGAAAGCUUUUUUAAUUAUUGUUUUCUUUCUUUCUUUUCUUUCUCUUGUGACAUCAUGACCAAAUUGUUUCUGGAGUAGAUUGCUUGAAGUAUGAUUGGUAAGAAUACUUGAAAUCCAUCAGAACUAUGAUGGAAAAAAGUCAGCUUUCUUAUAAACCUUUUUUUUUGAGUAGUUUUUCGAUCUCUGGAUCUGGGAAGCACUAAUAUGUUGGUAAUUGUCAUUGCAGCUGAAGAACCACUAAAGAAGACUUUCUAGGUUCAUACUCGAUCUGAGUUUUCUGAGGACAAGCUUUUCUGUGGUGAUCAUGAAGGUUGAAUUCACCCAUUGCAUUCAAAAGAUAGGUGUAGGCCAAGAAAAAAGUAACGGGAAGGAUUUUUUUAGAGCUAGCCAACCCAAUGGUUUGAAGACAAUAAGUUUUAAAUUAUCUUCUUUUAUACAAUAAUUUUCUGUUGUUUAAGAGGAGUGUAAGAUGAUGCUUAUUUGAUGUGCAAUAUGUAAAUCAUAAUUUUUCUUCAAUUUAUUACAAUGAUGUGUUUUGACUAUUUGGUAUGAAUUAAUAAAAUCAUAUCAAUUAAAG
rnacentral:lncRNA from 1 species